CUUGGAGGUCUCUUCCAACCUAGAUGAGUCUGUGAUUCUGUGAACACGGUUAGGUUGGGCCUCAAAGGGCGACAGAAAAGUUACCUGAAAGGCUUGAGAAUUGCCCGAAAGAAGGCAAAAAGCAAGAAGAGGGCGGGUCUGUAAACCUGACCCAGAAUUAAGAAAGGAAAAGGGGAUGAUAACUCAUUGACGAGAAAAACAAAAUCACGGUGUGAUUUUAUAAUUGCCCUAAGUUACCAUCUUUCACAGCAAUAGGUCUAGGGAUCAAUGGGGACGCACCACAAGGCAGACUCUGGGAGUUAGAGGUUAACCCAGGAGGGAGGAUCUGUGCAUCCCAGGCCGGUGGCACAUCCACAGCUGUAGAGGCUCCUUUCCAGCUCAUUAGCUCUUGCCUUCCAUGCUACCUUAUCCCCCAUCAGUGAUUCCUCUUCAGGAAUUUCAGUACGGAGACCUCAGGCAACUGCGGGGAUGAAAGGCAUUUCUUGCAGCUUCUGUCGCUUCGUUUUCCCUUCUAGCCUGGGUGUCUGUGGGAGGCUGGUCCAGGACCGUAGAAGUGACCUGAAGGUCACCCCGCUGUGUUCUGAUGACACAGGAAGAGUAAGUCCUUUCGCCUCUGUGUCGGGUGUCCUGGCAUCACCUCUGUUGCCCUACGCUUCAGCAUCCGCGGGGUAACAGUAUACAAUGAAAGGUUUUGCUUGAAUAUGGCCUUCAUAUUCACCCAUGUUCUUCAACCAUUGCAUGGCUUCGCUGUGAGAUGAGAAACGUUUGCUGCGCUCCGCCUGCUGGAUUGCAUUUUGUUGUCCAUCCGUUCGUCCUGGGCUGUGUUUGACUGUGAGUGAAGGCUGGCUUUGUUUUGCAGACCCCUCCAGGAUCCUUCGGAAAGAGUGCCAGUGUGGAAACGUCAGCAUUGCAUAGAUGGGUGUAAAGCUGUGAGAUAAAUGGAAAUUGCUCUGGGAAAAAAAUGAACGUAAUAUUGCCUUACGUUAGAGAUUGUCAUUGGUCUUUACUCACAUCGUUAACUCAGAGAAACUCCCACCUGAAUCCAUUUGGUUAUGGGAGGUGAAUCUGGGUAAAUACGAUGGGGAUUGCGCACACAAACAAGGAGCGUUCUGUUGCUUGCAGAAGGGUCAGAUGGUUUCCAGGCUCUGUUUCUCUUAGGGAAAGAGAAGAUUGCCCCUUCCUUCCUGGCAAGAAGGGCAGCAUGUGCUGCAAAUGGCUGUCUUACACCCAGCGCCUGCCUGAAUCCAGCACGUAGCUGGACUGGGCCAGGCCCUGUGCUUCUCUUGAAGCACACGGGUUGAUCAGAAAUGGUAUCCUUUUCUAGGUGUACUUUAGUCAAGGCUGUAGUAAAAGUGUCAGGAUUUACCUUUGGUGAGCAUUCCCCAAAACAGAAAUGAUCGUUCCUCAAGAAAUCAAGGGAGAAUCUACUUUAAGUAACCGAAAUAAGGCACACAGCUUUGCUGAUGUGUCACUUUGUUGCAGAGCGUGUUUCUGUGAAGGGUAUAGGUUUGUCUCUGUCUUUGUCUUGCUGAUCUAGGCGAGAUCCAGCAAAACAAGCUGCCGGUGACAAGGGAAAUUCAACUUACAGUAUUGGAAGAUUCAUGUCAGCGCGUAACGAAAACAUGCUUAUGGAAGCUGCUAAAUAUGUGUUACUAGGAGCUGGGUGAAGUAAUCCUGAAGGCUCUAAAUUUACAUGUCUAAAAGAGUAAACGCGUGCACAUAGAGCUGAUCGAUGUCACUCCUACCAAGUACUACUGCUAGAGUUUCAAAAGUGACUAGCGAUUUGGCUUUAUUUUAUUUAGAGGUUUUGGAGAGUCAUCAAAGGCCCUUGCCUUUCUGAGAUGGGCCUAGUCAGCUUUUUCUGAAAAUGAAACUCUACUAAUGCUGUAGUGACGUUUUUAAAAUCUCAGCUGAUCUGCAGGUGCGCAAACACACAGGAACAGACGCGAUCCCAUAGAGACAGACAUACAUAUUUCACGUGUAGAAUUUACAGAAUACAGAACAGGAGGCACUAGUCUUUUCUUGAACAAGGUGUGCAGUUCUCAGUGCCUCAAGUUUUUCAUUUAACCACCAAAUAAAUAAAUUAGGGUCUCUUUCUGACUGAAGAGGAGAGAACAUGCUGCAUUUUACACAAAACCUAUGCUUGCCUGUUAGCUGACUAUUUCUCUAAUACAUCAAAAUGAUUAGAUCAUUUCUUUCUCUCUUAUUUUUUUUUUAAUUGAAAUGAGAGCUUUACUUUUGUUGAAUGAUUCACUUAACAACUGUUGUUAUUUCUCUGGCCUACCCUGAGUUUACAGCACUGACUGAAAUGUUCUCAGAUGAGCAGGUGGGAAAACGGCCUGUAAAUCUUCAUCUUCGUAAAUGGUUUGUAAAACUUUUGGUGUUGAAGGAAGACAGCAAGAGAGAUGUUGAAGAACUGAGCCUUGAUGUCAUGUCCACAGAAUUUGUGCCAGGCAGAGCUGACAGCAGAACAGCGCCUUCCUCUUCCACGCCCAGGCUGAAGUCAAAGGUCCAUAAUGCUUAGUUGCCCUGGCCGUUGGAUUUAACAUCUCUCUUGGAAGUACUUCAAACCAAAUGGCUGGCUCCAUCUCUAGCUUUGUUAAUUAGGCACAUUACUUUGUUGCUUUUUUCAUAGCGUUUAAUGUAAUUGGCAUUUGUGCAGCUUUUUAAAGGCAUGUUUGGGCCUACAUUUUGUGCAGCUGGCUCUAAACUGCAAGCUAUUUCAAGUGUCUAGUUCUCUAGAAGACCGCCUUCGAGAGCGUGGAGCAUCUGUGUUGAGCGCAUACCAUGCUUCCUUUCCAAACCGAAGGAAAUGGCUAGUGUGACACAUGUUCUUCCCUGUAUUCGUUUGUAUUUCUGCGGCGUUAUGUUUGUAGUGGGAGCAUUAGCCGGCCUAUUUGAAGAACAGGACUCCACCUACAAGCUGUCGUGUAAUGCUUAGCUAUAAUAAGUCUUUAUCCUAGCCACCUUUAUUCAACUCACAGGGACGCUUUGCCAUAUAGACAGAAACGGCUGUGAUUAUUCACAUGGAAGUGAAUCUCCGCAAGCCAUGAAUUUGGCCUCACUGCGAUAAAUCCUACAGAUAAGGGUGCCAACGCAGUGCCAGCUGCCAGUACAACCAAUGAAGUUACACAAGGCAGGAAUUCAGUACAUUGACUUCGGUUGUCGUGGCGUGAAAUGCUGUACCUGAACUGAAGAAGUGAUACACGUACAAGUUUAGGAAGAAAAUACUUUGUGUAUGCGCUGAAGAAAUCACCCAAUUCCUCUUUUUCAUAGAAAUGCUGCCCUCUGCCGGCCUGGGAAACCAAGAAGCACAAGUUGCCUAUUAAUUGCAAUAAUACAAUUUCCACUCACGUGGCAGCAAGUAGGAAUAAAAUAUGCCCGUUAGCAUAAAAGGCACAUGGAUUGUCUGAGUUGCAGCCUCGGGAAACCCACAAGUAGCAGAAGGCAAAGUAAAGAGAGUUGUAACGACAAGACUUUGUUUUACUUGUACAAACAUCCUGGCUCACAGUCAGUCAGACGUAGGGCGCUGCACACAGCGGUCGUCAGUGACCCAAGAGGACCCUUACAUCCUCCCAGAACGUGAAGCUAAGCCACAGGUAAAAUACAAGUCAUUCAGGUUUUGUCAGCCAAGUGCAUUCGUUUGAGGAUUCAGAAGUAAAGCGUCGGCGUGAAGGAAUGUUUUAUGGCCAAGGUGUAAGAUAUGUGGAGGUGACUGUGCAUGCCGAGGUUUGCGUACCACUGAGGACCAGAGAAUGGCAUCGCAAGCCCACUGUCAUCUGCUCUUGUGCCUGUGCCUCAUCUGCCUUCUGAAGGCUCUUUGGUAGCAAAGUACUUGGCAUUUUCCUGGUGUGUGGGGCUCCAGAUGGUGACUGAAGACAGUAAAUAUUUUUGCUGUUUCUCCACCAACUGAUUCUCCAUUAGGAAAAGAUGAGAAAACAGAACAUUCAACUCACCGAGAGCUGACCUCACAAAGAAAUGCAGUCUGCAAGUUAUCCAGCAGAUGCUGCUGUUGGACAAAAAAAAAGCUCAAGCGAAGUCAAUGGGACACCUUUACAGAUCUGGACGUUGAUAAAGGUGUAGAGGGGACAGCCCUGCCUCGGAGUCCCCUCCGAUCUGCACAGUGGUCCCGUGCCUCAGAGCACCAGUUUGUCAUCCACCAUGGUCACAACCACACACAGUGAGGGAGCUGGUGAGCUGUUCCCUUCUUCCUUUUAAGAGGUAAGAGCUGCACAAAUACCCUCUGUAAUAAUCACCAAAGCAUUUAGAGCUGCUGCUAUCUCGUUUUGUUUGUUUGUUUCAUGUGAAGUUUAAACAAAAGCCACAAAUCGCAGGGAUAGGACAAGGAACAGGUCGUUGAAUAUGGACUGUAGCUGCCGGUUAUUCCCAUCUGAAUGUACAGAUACGCUCUGCUGGUUACUUAUCAAUGACAAUCUGCUCCAGGCUUAUCCCUGAGCAGGGCAAGCUUGCAAGGUUACACGUGUAUACUGAAUGAAACAUACCCCACCGGUAAUUUUUAGCGAGGCUCUAAACAAGAAAUAAAUCCCUGGAGGAGUGUUGCCAGAGAUGCAUAAAGUUCAAAUCCAAAUUAAAACUGCCUUUCUUUGGCCUAAAUUCUGACCUGAACUUGAGGAAAACUGUGAUCUAUACUUUGACCUUUAUGACAGAAAAUCAAUUGAAAUUUAAUUCUCAUACCUGAUACGAACGUGGUACAAACACUUGAAAAUUAAAACCUGAAUGGAAAAAUCUGAACGCUUGUCUCAGGGUGUAGUACUGGUCUUGCAAAAUAUGGUCACGGGGCUUUAACUUACGGUAGCUGCAAUGGACGUUGAAGGAUCUGAGUUACUGAGACUCGUAGGUCUGAUACAGCUUUGUAAGCUCAAGUCCUACAAUGUAAUUGUAAACUUGGGGGGGGGGGGGGAAAAAUGCUUAUUUACUUCACAAAUCUAUUUCGUGAAGACCAUCAAUAUGUAAGACUUGGUUUAGAAAUUACUAAGAUACCUACUUGAAGAAGGUAGACCCCUGUUCAGCAAUGCUGUUACACAAAGUAAUUGAAAGUGGUGCAGCUGAAGCACGUUCUUGAUUUCGUUGCUGAAUCAGAGCCUGUAUCUUCUUCCUGCCAAGGCAGCGAUCUUAACACCACUCCUGAAUGCACUAGUAAUUCUAGAAGCUCUAAUGAAAGUCAAGAUAACACCAUAGAUUUUAUAAAUAAGGGUCUUUAUUUAGAAUACUGUUGAAAACAUUCUUGGCAACCACAUUGUAUAAAUAUAUAAAGUUAAAGUUUGGCACAACAAACCAAGCAACAUUAAAUAUUUUUUUCCUUUUUUGUUUUUAGUAUUUUGUUGUUUUUUUUUUUUUCUUUUCCUUUUUUUUUUUUUUUU